rnacentral:rRNA from 1 species
UACGUAGGGAGCAAGCGUUGUCCGGAAUCAUUGGGCGUAAAGCGCGCGUAGGCGGCCCGAUAAGUCCGCUGUAAAAGUCAACGGCUCAACUGUUGAAAGCCGGUGGAUACUGUCGGGCUAGAGUACGGAAGAGGCAAGUGGAAUUCCUGGUGUAGCGGUGGAAUGCGCAGACAUCAGGAGGAACACCCAUAGCGAAGGCAGCUUGCUGGGACGUUACUGACGCUAAGGCGCGAAAGCGUGGGGAGCGAACAGG